CCUACGGGGGGCAGCAGUGGGGAAUAUUGGGCAAUGGACGCAAGUCUGACCCAGCAACGCCGCGGGAAGGAAGAAGGCUUUCGGGUUGUAAACUUCUUUUAAGGGGGAAGAGCAGAAGACGGUACCCCUUGAAUAAGCCACGGCUAACUACGGGCCAGCAGCCGCGGUAAUACUUAGGUGGCAAGCGUUGUCCGGAUUUACUGGGGUUAAAGGGCGUGCAGCCGGAGAGACAAGUCAGAUGGGAAAUCCACGGGCUCAACCCGUGAACUGCAUUUGAAACUGUUUCACUUGAGUGUCGGAGCGGUAAUCGGAAUUCCUUGUGUAGCCGUGAAAUGCGUAGAUAUAAGG
rnacentral:rRNA from 1 species